AAACCCAUCUCUGCCGGUCGACCCGAACCAACCCGGAAUCUAUCCCGCACCAACCCCAUUUUUAAGCCCCAGAAGUCCCAGCCCCCAACCGGCCUCCGUGAAUUAUUGCCACCGCCGGCGGCGGCGACAACGACUACUUCUGAAGACGUCUGAUCUCUAAGUUUCAUCUCUUAUAGCAACUUUAAGGAAAAAAUAUUAGGUCGGAAGAUCUGCUUCCAAUCAUGACCAUCUCGGACGACGAGGACGAUUUCUUGGCACACUUCCUCGAAUCAGAGGUCCUCUCCGAAGUCUCGGAUCAGGAAGAGGCGGAGGAGGCAGAGAAGGAAGAGGAGAAGGUGGAGGAGAAGGAGGAGGAGGAGCUAAAAGCGAAAAGAGUUCGUUUAAAUGAAAUUGAGAAUCCAAAGGAGAAAGAGAAAGGGAAAGAGAAAGAGAAGCAUAGUAGUAAGCCAAGGAGGAUAGAGAGUGGGAUAUUGAGCAAGAUCCCCCCUGAACUCUUCCCUCAUAUCCUCAAAUUCCUUUCUUCUGAGGAUCUUAUGGCGUGCUCUCUGGCAUGUAAAUUUCUGAAUUACGCUGCAUCUGAUGAGUCUUUAUGGCGUCGCCUGUACUGUAUGCGAUGGGGUCUAUUGCCCCCUUCCAAGAGGUUGUGUGAUUGUGUUUGGAAGAAACUCUAUAUGCAGCGUGAUGAAGAGGACAUGGUCAAGCUUGUUAGGAAUUGCCCUCCUGAGUUUAAAGAGUACUACAUGCAAAUGCAUGCAGCAAAGAGAAGUCAAGCUCCUCUUCCUUCUCAGGUGAAAGAUGAUCAGAUAAUUCUUGACAAGACAAUUGCUGAUCAGGUGUCUAUAUGGAAAAAGAGCAAAGGCCUGACUGAUAAGGUGGUCACUGACCAUACUUGUUCUGGAGAGAAGUGUUCUUACCACCAAAUUGGGGAUGUUUUUGUUUGUGAGAAGACCGGAAAUGUUCACGUGUGUGAUGAUACAUGCAGAGAAGUUGUUAUAAACCCUGUAAAUGAGCUUUUGGUCUGCACAAUUUCCGGGCUUUGUUUUGAUAGAUUAGUGUCACCAGAUGAAAUGGAGCCAUGUCCUGCGGAAGGCGCAGCAACAGAUGAAGCAGAGCCAUUCAUGGGAUCUGGUCGUUUUGCACGAGCUUACUUGUUGGGAUAUAAUUGCGACGAUGAGAAGGAGCUAGAAGCUUGUUUGAGGUUUUGCUGAUCCAAAUCUUAGUUUGCAUGAGUUGGAUGCAUAGAAUAUCAAAGAUGUCAUAACUUUGCCAUAUAAGUAAUUCAAGUGAUUAAUUUUACAGUUACAUUGUCUGUGUGUAUUGAACGCUUAGGCAACUUUCUUCUGACACUUUCUUCCUGUAGUUAUGUUGCUUUGCUGUUAUGUGGGCCGGCUUGCAUGCGCAAUAAACCUUGAGCUAAGUGAAAUUUGGGGCGUUUGGGUUUGUAGAUUUCAUCUGAUUUUGCAGUUUUGCUUGAAAUAGGAAAUAGGCUUCAGGCUUGGGGAGUUCUCAUCUUAUCGUAGUUAUAAUAGGUGCACCUAAUUUUUAGAUGCAAGCAACAAAAUCUAGCGACAGGAGUAACUUCUUUCUAAAGGAUUACAGUGAUUAUUGGUUACAGCUGAUAGAGUUUGUUUCGCGAUAAGAGUAUUUGGGCGGGUUGAAGAAUCAAAUAUUAAGUCUCUGUUUGAUUUGCGAGAAAUA
rnacentral:misc_RNA from 1 species